rnacentral:rRNA from 1 species
GGGUUAGUCGGGACCUAAGCUGAGGCCGAAAGGCGUAGGUGAUGGACAACAGGUUGAUAUUCCUGUACUACCGAUAUCCGUUUGAGAGAAGGGAUGACACAGUAGCAUAAGCUAAGCACACUGUUGGGUAUGUGUGCCCAAGCAUUGAGGCAGUCAAAGUAGGCAAAUCCGCUUUGAUAAUGCUGGGAUGUGAUGGGGAGCGAAAUUUAGUAGCGAA